rnacentral:rRNA from 1 species
CCUACGGGUGGCUGCAGUGAGGAAUAUUGGUCAAUGGACGAGAGUCUGAACCAGCCAAGUAGCGUGAAGGAUGACGGCCCUAUGGGUUGUAAACUUCUUUUAUAUGGGAAUAAAAUGCGUCACGUGUGGGGUUUUGUAUGUACCAUAUGAAUAAGGAUCGGCUAACUCCGUGCCAGCAGCCGCGGUAAUACGGAGGAUCCGAGCGUUAUCCGGAUUUAUUGGGUUUAAAGGGAGCGUAGGCGGAGUUUUAAGUCAGCUGUGAAAUGCUGUGGCUCAACCAUAGAAUUGCAGUGGAAACUGGGAGGCUUGAGUGCGGUAGAGGUGGGCGGAAUGCGUGGUGUAGCGGUGAAAUGCUUAGAUAUCACGAAGAACCCCGAUUGCGAAGGCAGCAUACUGGACCGCAACUGACGCUGAUGCUCGAAAGUGUGGGUAUCAAACAGGAUUAGAUACCCGUGUAGUC